rnacentral:tRNA from 1 species
ACUUAAAUAGCUUAUUAGAGCAUAAUAUUGAAGAUAUUAAGGAAAUAUGUAUUUAUUUUUAAGUA